UACGUAGGGGGCAAGCGUUGUCCGGAAUCAUUGGGCGUAAAGAGCGUGUAGGCGGCCCGAUAAGUCCGCUGUGAAAGUCAAGGGCUCAACCCUUGAAUGCCGGCGGAUACUGUCGGGCUAGAGUCCGGAAGAGGCGAGUGGAAUUCCUGGUGUAGCGGUGAAAUGCGCAGAUAUCAGGAGGAACACCAAUAGCGAAGGCAGCUCGCUGGGACGUUACUGACACUGAGGCGCGAAAGCGUGGGGAGCGAACAGG
rnacentral:rRNA from 1 species